rfam:Pongo abelii chromosome 19.
UCUCAGGCUGUGACCUUCUCGAGGAAAGAAGCACUUUCUGUUGUCUGAAAGAAAAGAAAGUGCUUCCUUUCAGGAGAGUUGACGGUUUGGAGA